rnacentral:lncRNA from 1 species
GUUUCUCUUUGCCACAGUGAGAAUUUUUACAAGGUUGUGUUAAUUUUUGAUACCGUGAGAAUAUAUAUAUGAAUAUGUUUAUAGUUGCUACCGUGAUAAGUAUACUAUAAGGAUUUGCUCAUUUCUAAUUUGAAACUGCUACCAUGCGCACAACCGCUAUCGUGAGAUCAUAUGUACUACCGUGACAAUUUUUAUAAAGAUCCUUUCAUAUUUGCUACCGUUACCGAUAUCAUUUUUAUAAUGAUGUGAUCAUAUUCGUGACCGUGAAAAUUUUUAUAAGGAUUUUUUUCAUAUUUACUACCGUGGGAUUUUUUCAAGGAUGUUUUCAUAUUUGCCACCGUGAUAAUGUUUACAAGGAUUUGUUCAUAUGUGCGACCGCUACCAUAAGAUUAUAUUUAAUGAUGUGUUCCUAAUUGCUAUCGUGGGAAUUUUCAUAAGUUAUGAUUUGUUCAUAUUAGCUACAUUCCAAACUGUCAUAAGUAGGAUUUUUCCAUAUUAAAUAUGGAUAGAAUUUUUAUAAGAACUAAAAUUGAGAAAGGAAAUGGGGAAUGUGUCAAAGCGAUAACAACCCGAC